rnacentral:rRNA from 1 species
UUCUUUCCUCCCGAGUGCUUGCACUCAAUUGGAAAGAGGAGUGGCGGACGGGUGAGUAACACGUGGGUAACCUACCCAUCAGAGGGGGAUAACACUUGGAAACAGGUGCUAAUACCGCAUAACAGUUUAUGCCGCAUGGCAUAAGAGUGAAAGGCGCUUUCGGGUGUCGCUGAUGGAUGGACCCGCGGUGCAUUAGCUAGUUGGUGAGGUAACGGCUCACCAAGGCCACGAUGCAUAGCCGACCUGAGAGGGUGAUCGGCCACACUGGGACUGAGACACGGCCCAGACUCCUACGGGAGGCAGCAGUAGGGAAUCUUCGGCAAUGGACGAAAGUCUGACCGAGCAACGCCGCGUGAGUGAAGAAGGUUUUCGGAUCGUAAAACUCUGUUGUUAGAGAAGAACAAGGACGUUAGUAACUGAACGUCCCCUGACGGUAUCUAACCAGAAAGCCACGGCUAACUACGUGCCAGCAGCCGCGGUAAUACGUAGGUGGCAAGCGUUGUCCGGAUUUAUUGGGCGUAAAGCGAGCGCAGGCGGUUUCUUAA